CCCCACCCCUGCUCCGCCCCCUCCGGGUAGGAAACUCCGAGGAGUGAUUCACGCGUGAUUCAACCGCGCCACCGAGCGCGGUGCUGCCCUUCGGUCCGGCGGCUCCAGGUGCUGCGGGGAACCGGGUCCCCCGGCCCCCAGCGCUCCCCGCCCGGUCCCCGGGGUCGCCGAGGCCGGCGACCCCGACGUCCGGCCUGAGUGGGCAGGUCUUGGGGCUGAAAGCGGGGGCGCUUUGGAAGCAGUUCUCGAGGUGGAGGGAAAGGAUUCUUCUCUACCGUUUGGAGACCCAGUGCUGUCCCGGCCGGUGGGAGCGGCAGCACUGACGGGGUCUAACGGCAGGUCAGCGGGAGGUGCUGUUCCGGGAGGAAGAGAACUUGAGAGGGAACGGCUCAGAAGGUGAAGCACAGAGCAUUUUCUGCGACUCUCCUACGUGCCUGUAAGACUCUUCUGCGAAAACUCACUGGGUUCUCCCUUCACCUAAAACCUCCUGAAACCUCCAUUCUUCAAAGUCUUCUUCAUCAAGAAGGGAUGUUCACAGAAACUAUAAUCCUUAGAAGAAGGAGGACUUUAGACACUGAAGGGGAGAAGAGCGUUUUCCUGGCAAGAGCAGAGUGUUUCAGGAGGAGGUGACGACAGGCAUGGAGAUUGGAAAGAGAGGUGCUGGGCCAAAGGAAAAGGUACGUGAUCAGUUGAACCACAGCUUAUUUUAUUUUUAAAAGAAAGAUAUCUCAUGAUAAAUUAAAACAAAAACAGAAGAGCCUUCCUGGUCCUUUCUCCCUUUCUGCUAACAUCUACAUGUGAAUGUAUUUCCUCAUCAAAUACAUCAGUUAUUCUUAAACAUGUAGGCUAAGUUUUAAAAGAAGUAACUGUGGUGUGUGUUAGCAUCACUCUGAGAAAAAAAAUGCAAGGAGUUCUGUGCAUACUAUCACAAGUUUGAGCCCAUCCAAACUGGGAUGAUAAGAAUUCUGAGGGCGGGGCGCCUGGGUGCCUCAGUCGGUUGAGCUUCUGACUUGGGCUCAGGUCAUGAACUUGCGGUUGGUGAGUUUGAGCCCUGCAUCGGGCUCUGUGCUGAUGACUCAGAGCCUGGAGCCCACUUCUGAUUCUGUGUCUCCCUCUCCUUCUGUUCCUCCUCCGCUCACACUGGCUUUCUCUCUCUUUCAAAAAUAAAGAUUUAAAAAAUUAAAAAAAAAAGA